UGAUGUAGUGCCAGAUCAGGGGGUUUGGUGCGGCUGGCACUGGCGCAGUGGUGUGCCUCAUUGCUUUCAAUACCUGUUAGACUCAUUGAGGUGACCCUUGCUUGCUGAAGUUAUCCAUUCCUGAGACACAGAGGGUGUUUUUGUUUGUAGAGCUGCAUUUUUUCAGAGAUUCAGGAACACAAAAUAUAAGCAGCAAAACUAUUUUGUAACCCGUCUCUUGUACUGUUGUGUUGCAGCUGAACAGAUUCUACCACAAAUCCUUGUGUCUUCCUCACAAAUUCUUUUUCAUCCUGCAGAGUGCCUCCUUCAGCUUCCAAUGCCAGAAGCAGCUCUUGUUCCUUGCUAGCCAUAUGCAAGACUGGCCAAUAUGUCAUCCCCUCCUUUAUGUGGCUGUGCAGCUGUGGCAAGUCAGCAGUGCUGCUGGGUGAAAAACCCUGUGUGGCACUGACCUACGAUGAUCUAAAUCAGCCUUUCACUUACUAUUUUAGGCUGAAACAGUGUUAGGCUUCUGCAGAAAUCCAGCUGGGCUCUGGAAACUGCUGGUCAGGUUUGGUUAUCCUGCAACCAGCAGGACUGAGAGCUUUGUUGUAAAAAUAAGUAUGUGGCAUGCACACACAUUUGAGAACCAACUGCCUUUUAAGGCUACUGGAAGUCUUUAUUUCCCGACUUUAAAAUGGACCUUUUAUGGCAGAUCUCUCCCUCUCCCCCUCUUUUUGGUCUGUGCAACCUUCCUAACUUUGAGGGUGAAUUCCUGCAGUUCUGUUAGGCAAACCUGUCAUUGCCUACAGUAGCCACCAUUCAGCAGGAGUUCUGACUGAGUGAGGCCUCUCAGCAGGUAGCUUAUAUUACAGUAUCAUGCAUGCAGUUGUUUGCUUAGGGUAAGCGUGUCUUACUGGAGGUUCCUGUAGAAGGUGGGCAAAGCACGUGAAACUAUGGAUUUUUUUACUUUAAUAACUUUUUAUCGAACCACUUCUCCACACUCUAUUGUGAAGGAUCUAAACCACAUAUUCAUAAAUCACAGCUUUUACAAAGAGCAGCACAAAAAGGCAAAGGGGAGCAGACUGACAAUGCAAGUGAAUAAACACAAACUCCAAUAAUGAAAUGUUGGCUUGUAUAUACUGGCAUUUAAAGUCCAUCCCAUAAAAUGUAAUCAAGUGAACGUUUGUGAUAUGAACACAAACCCCCAGAGAGAUCCUCUAUUAAAAAAAAAA
rnacentral:lncRNA from 1 species